AUCACUUCUUGGUCUUUUGGCUAAAAUCAAGUGUAGUAUGAGUUCUUAACAGUUUAAUAUCUGGUCUGUCCUCUAUCCAAGGACAAUAUAUUAAAUGGAUUUUUGGAAAUAGGAGUUGGAAUAGGAGCUUGCUCCAUCCACUCCACACAUCGAACUGGUAUUGCAGUACCUCCAGGAACCGUGCAAAAAAA